AGAGUUUGAUCCUGGCUCAGGAUGAACGCUAGCGACAGGCUUAACACAUGCAAGUCGAGGGGCAGCGGGGGCGUAGCAAUAUGCCUGCCGGCGACCGGCGCACGGGUGAGUAACACGUAUGUAACCUGCCCUAUGCAGGGGGAUAACCCGGAGAAAUCCGGCCUAAUACCGCGUAACACCUUAGGGGAGCAUUCUCUUGAGGUUAAAGGAGAGAUCCGGCAUAGGAUGGACAUGCGUCGCAUUAGGUAGACGGCGGGGUAACGGCCCACCGUGCCGACGAUGCGUAGGGGUUCUGAGAGGAAGGCCCCCACACUGGUACUGAGACACGGACCAGACUCCUACGGGAGGCAGCAGUGAGGAAUAUUGGUCAAUGGCCGAGAGGCUGAACCAGCCAAGUCGCGUGAGGGAAGAAUGUCCUAAGGAUUGUAAACCUCUUUUGUCGGGGAGCAAAAAGGCUCUGCGGAGUCGUAUUGAGAGUACCCGAAGAAAAAGCAUCGGCUAACUCCGUGCCAGCAGCCGCGGUAAUACGGAGGAUGCGAGCGUUAUCCGGAUUUAUUGGGUUUAAAGGGUGCGCAGGCGGCGUGUCAAGCAAGCGGUAAAAUAGCGGGGCUCAACCCCGUCGAGCCGUUUGAACUGGCGCGCUUGAGUUCAGGCGAGGUAGGCGGAAUUCGUGGUGUAGCGGUGAAAUGCAUAGAUAUCACGAAGAACUCCGAUUGCGAAGGCAGCUUACCAGUCUGCGACUGACGCUCAGGCACGAAAGUGUGGGUAUCGAACAGGAUUAGAUACCCUGGUAGUCCACACAGUAAACGAUGAGCGCUAGGUGUCCGGGUCGCAUGAGACUUGGGUGCCCGAGCGAAAGCGUUAAGCGCUCCACCUGGGGAGUACGCCGGCAACGGUGAAACUCAAAGGAAUUGACGGGGGCCCGCACAAGCGGAGGAACAUGUGGUUUAAUUCGAUGAUACGCGAGGAACCUUACCCGGGCUCAAACGACUCAGGAAUAUAUUGGAAACGAUGUAGCCAGCAAUGGUCUGAGUCGAGGUGCUGCAUGGUUGUCGUCAGCUCGUGCCGUGAGGUGUCGGCUUAAGUGCCAUAACGAGCGCAACCCCUACCGCCAGUUGCCAACGGGUAAAGCCGGGAACUCUGGCGGGACUGCCGGCGCAAGCUGCGAGGAAGGCGGGGAUGACGUCAAAUCAGCACGGCCCUUACGUCCGGGGCGACACACGUGUUACAAUGGCAGGUACAGCGGGAAGCUACCUGGUGACAGGGAGCGGAACCCGAAAGCCUGUCUCAGUUCGGAUUGGAGUCUGCAACUCGACUCCAUGAAGCUGGAUUCGCUAGUAAUCGCGCAUCAGCCAUGGCGCGGUGAAUACGUUCCCGGGCCUUGCACUAACCGCCCGUCAAG
rnacentral:rRNA from 1 species